GCCAUGGGGGGGUGAGCAGGUGCAGGUUUUUUAACACUAGGGAUCCCGAAAGGAAAUGGAGACAGUUACGACGAGCGGAUUCACGAAGCGUGCUGCUACGCGAGGGAUUUUGCUGACACCAAAACAAAAUAGUGCCAAGGACAUCGAGAUACGUGAAACGUCAUAAAAAUGUGGGGGAACGUCACGUGAUAAGGAAGUGGAAGUAGAUCCGGUGUGGAACUGACGUAGAAAGGACCCAAUGAGCGAGCAAGAACUGAGAAGAGGCCGUCACUGUAACCCCGCCCAUAAGCUGGGAGCCGACGAGUACUGCUUACUCUUCUAAUCGGAGCUUGGGCACUUGUAAACAGCCACCCUACCCUCCACCACUUCUAAACUGGAUGGCCUCUGCAGAUGCACUUUAGCGCCUCCAAACCCGGAUCUCCCAAAGGCAAUCCACCAAAAGACAAAACAUAAAACUCUUAUCCCCUUUA